rnacentral:misc_RNA from 1 species
AACGCACCUUGCGCCCUUUGGUAUUCCGAGGGGCAUGCCUGUUUGAGAGUCAUUAAAUUCUCAACCUUACAAAUUUUUGUAUUUGUCAAGGCUUGGAUGUGAGAGUUGCUGGUUAGAGUAUAUUCUGACUGGCUCUCUUUAAAACUAUUAGUAGGACAUGUAGAAAUGCCUACGGUUGGUGUGAUAAUAUGUCUACGCCUAUACCGGAAGGGGAUUCUAGCUUGUAUGUACUACUUAUAAAAUCAUGCGCAUAUAUCUAGCAUAUAAGUGCAUAUAUUGACCAUUUGACCUCAAAUCAGGUAGGACUACCCGCUGAACUUAA